AAAACAAAAAAAAACAUGUCGGCGGUGUGGGACAGGCAACACGUAAUGCCCGGAUCAAACUACAAGACAAAUUUGCUCUUUCACGAUUGCACUGUCAGACGACUGCCAUAAAAUCUUGUAUUCCGAUUCCACCGCAUCCCGUUUUUUACAAUCAUUGGGCUUUAUGUCAAAUGCGACCAGAUACACUCGUUACCGUGGCGACGACAACAAGCAGAGUGGAGCGCGCCGACCGUAUUCUAAGGACAACGUGUGUUGUUGGUCACCGGCGCUCAGGACAGGAGAGGACGUUGGUUCAAGGCUUGCUUGAGCCAAGGGUUUCUGACCCCAGAAGAAUGACUGAGACAAACGGAAUAUGCGACCAAAUUCUACACGGAGAGCUUUUGUACAGUCACGCACCCCCCAGAAGUGCCCCGAGUCAACGAGCGGAAAAGACCAUCGCUAGAAAUGGCUUCCCCGGACACCAAGAGAAGCGUGCAGCCAAUAAGAUGAGUUUCUCUUCUCUUUGGAUUUCGCUCUGCAUGUAAACAAGCUCAACCGAGUGGAAAAUGGAAAAUUCAGACCGGAGCAAAUGAAGUGGGGACAUCGCAGUCAGCAGGAAAUUGCGUCAUCCAGAUCCUCUGAAGGCCAAAAGCCUCCCAUGGGCCCAGAAAGGCCAACCGGAGGAGGAGGAGGAGGAGGAGGAGGCGCUAGGGACAGCGUUACCUUCAGGCUCAGGAGAUACCAGCGGCCUAUCAUUGACAAAUUGUUCUGUCUGGCUGUGUGAGAGAGCCAGGAUUGCAGUAAUUGCAUAUUUCCCUCUAAUUGCUUUUGUCACCUGCGCUGCUACGGCGGCAGGUCAGCGUGUUACCCUCCCGAGCCGACAGCUGAACUCUCGCCUGCACCGUGAGUGCACAGAGAACGGCUACAAAAAGAGAGGGCAAUAAAUUAUGCAGCGGGCCAAAACAUCCGCAAAGCAGCCCUCAAGUGCACGGUCCACUGCCGGUCGGAGACAUGCCCCGGGUUGUGAUGGGCUUCACUCCAUGAAAUUGUUUAUUAAGAAGAAUUCACGAUUGCGCGAGAGGAAGCUCCUAAUGUUAGCCAAGUGACAGGUCUCCACUGGGCUGUACUCGGGAUUAUAUCAUUUGUGGCAAAUUCACAAAAUGUGAAAGACGUGACCGGAAGGGUUAUUAUGGCACGGAGCUGUUGUUUUAGCCUUGUUCGUGGGCGGAGGUGUGUCUCUGUGUGUGCGUGCGUGCGUUGUAAUAACACGCGGCUCUCAUCUUGGCUUCUGGUGCUUCGUGAUAUGCUGUCAGGCUGCUGCAUUAUACAGAAGGCUUGUACAACUACAUUUUAAUCCACUCGUGUUUCUGGACUGAUAAAAGGAUUCUCUCCAUCUCUUUCUGUUUAAUUCACACCAUCAUCAAUCAAAUGUGUGUGUGUGUGUGUGUCCCCAACACACUCCCCCCCUGGGCUUUGGGGUCUGCUACAUAGAGGCUGCGGGUCCCCCCCAGGGGGGUUAGGGACACGACGGACCGGUCACAGAUGCAAUAGAAAUUAAAAUGCAAGCGGCCGCGCAAGGUGUUACGUUUCUCAGACGUGCUCAUUUGCAGCAAUAUAUGAGCAACAUAAGGAGGCUUAUCUCGGAUCCCGAGUACGACUCUCGCAAGAUUAUGUGAAUAUGAUUAAAAAAAUAAAUAAAACAACACACUCCGUACAUCGUGUGGCUGCGAAAUGUGGAAGAUUCCCUUUCUGCUCGAUGCGCACUGUUUUUUGUCUCUCGCUAUUGUCUGCACAUGACAGUUGCCACAGGCUACUUAGUAAUGAAUGUGUGCCUGUAGCAUGUGUUGUGUGUGGAGCCUAUGAAUAGAGUAAAUAUGCACAUCUCUGCACAACAGGUCAGCUUCUCAGCACACAUAGAAGAGAAUAUGAUCAACCACACAAUGAGCGGCUGAAAGUACAAAGGAAUUAUGUAUAAACAAGUGCUCGGUCUGACUGAGGUGUCACGCAAUGAUGUCUGAUAUCCCAUCAAAGCUUUGUCAUCUUUUUUUUGGGUUUUUUCUAAAUUUGGCUACAACACUGUUCUUUUUUUUGUGUGUUUUUUCUCCUGCAGAUCUGAUUGCAGCUCUUUAUGUGGCACAUGAAAACGCUCUCCUCCUGACAGGUAGUCCAGAUGGGCGCCCUCGAGACGGCGCGUGAGAGGCUUUUGUGAGGGUGGAGCUGCCGUGUGAUCGCCGCAAUCAGGUGCGCGUCUCCACAAAGGCCCCUGCUGCUCAUUUCAAGUAUCGGGGCCUCGCCGCGGCCUCGGGACAUUUGGAGACAUAAAACAACAGCGGCAUCUGUGGCAGGUAAUGAUCCCCUCUCCAAAAAUCUGUCUAAUGAUGGUCCUCGACCAUUUGUUGCAGUUAAAAUCACUGUUGCUCGUUGGCAGUUUGUCCUCGAGCAACACGUACGGCCGCGGAUCGGCGGUCAAGCGGGCUGACGUGACACCGAUGAGGCUUUUAUUUAGCGCUAAGCCUCAGUGCGCCGCCACGAAACGGGACGUGUGGUGCCGAAGGUCAGCUGUGAAUUGGGGAUCGUUGCAUCAGCGAACGAGCACAAUAAGCUCCGCUUGCAAAACGUGAUUAGCACAGAAAAUAAGAACGCGCAGGGACGACGCAACGUUUCGCAACUGGUGCUUAACGUGCGUGGGAGGAGUCAAACAAUUUUCCAAAAAGGAUAAACAGGCGUUCACUGUCUCACCACGACCCGCGAGAUCGCACUUGUCGGGUGAAAACCCCAGCGACGUGUCGAAGCGCAAUCCGCUGCGAGCGAUCCUGUCGGCUCGGACGCGCAACUCUUGCGUCCGCGGGGGGCUCUCUCCCCCGAUCCCCUCUCCCGCGCGCCUGCUUUAGUAAACGCGUUAAAUAGCGGCGCCGUGUUCGUGCGGUCAUUGCGGCCGUCAAAGGCCAUCGGGCCCCCUCGAAGGAUGAUGGCUCUCUAAAGUGGGCUCUCUCCAUAGCAGCCAUUUUCCACUCGACUGGUCCCACACACAAGGGGGAACGGUCGCCCCCAGCAGCUGGGCUCGACCGGCCACCGGGGGCGGGGAGAACGAGACGAACGGGCCGGAUGUAUUGGGAGCGGACUAAUGGACGUCUAUUUGCAUCGAGAGGUGUUGGCAAUUUGUCCUUCAAAAGACCUCUGAUGAUGCAGUUAGCGGGCGGAUGUUAAGAAAUGUAAGUGCACCCGGUCAUUAAUCCCGCCACUGACAGUUCAAACAAAGCACCGUCGCUAUUGUGGCCAUGAUUGGCAAAAUCUCAACGCGAACCUUUUGUUACGUCCCGACAUGACUGCUAAUGUAACUAGGUGUCGGCGCUAGGUGUCGAACUCAGGACGCAUUUUCAUAAAUCAUUUGUCGACACCGCUGGCAGUCUGUAAAUUGCCUCUGCAUUGACAACACAAAAGAGCUCCGCUGGGAUCGAAGGAGUUCAGUGUCUCUUUGCGGCUGCCAAAUUAGCUUGGCCUCCGUUUGAACCCAACAAACAAACAAAUGUGAACGCAAACAAUUUUACGUAGCGGAACCCGCCGAGAUGCGCCGCGACCAACCGGCCGCGGGCUCGGGUAAUAAUUAGCCCGCUGCGGACGAGGAACAUGUUCGCACCCCGUCCUUCUGUGAAGCUCUGUAAUUGGUCCCCUCAUGUGGCACGAUCGGGCCCAAGAACAAAGAGUUCCCCGAGGGCAGAUGCACGCCGACCCAUGCUGAAGCCCCCCCGCGACAAUGACAGGCAGGAAGCAUUUGCAUACGCUGACAGACUUGCCUCAUCCCAGAGUGAAGUGCGAGGCACUUCAUUAAAGCAACAUCGAUAGAAAACGAGGAGCGGCGCCGAAAGGACACCGGCCCGUCGCGUUCCAUUUCAAAUAAAUGGACGGCGUUUAUUACGAUGGGGAGCGCGCGGCGGAGAGGUUAGCGAUGGGAUAUUGCAACUCACGAGCCGGUUAACUGAACAUCAGCAAAACCAAAACGUGUGCGCCUCGGGGUUCCGCAAAGCAAAUUUCCUCACGCCAGAAAGUGCAAUGUUGUUGUUGUUGUUAUUGUUGUUGUUGUUGUUUGCCCUCACCCCGUGCCCCACCUUCUUACAUUUUGUGUGUAUGUGGUUUUAUACCGUGAUUUAUUUCCCUAACCAGCUUAAUAUCCACCUUAAGGUCCGUGAACUAGUACGCUUUUUGUCCUCGCUCGUAAGACAAUUGAGUGCACUAGUAGAAAAAGUAGCAGAACAGCUGUGUCUUAAUAGUUUGAUGGUUUGUUUUUUUCCACUACUGUAUGACAAUAUUGCACACUAGUCGGACAACUGCAUGUGUUCAUUGAGGCGAGGCGAGGCAAGGCAGCUUUAUUCAAAUAGCACAUUUGAUUCACGAGGUAACUCGGUGUGCUUGACAUGAUUAGACGCAUUUAAAAACAAACUCAAAGAAAAUACAGUGCAUUUUCUUUUCUUUUUUGAAUGACUAAAAUGCUUCAAUCAUACACCUGAGUGGGGAAAUAAGAAGAAUUUGGAACCUCGAUUUCAAAACAUUGACACUUUGGGGCUGAUUUCACUUCUGUUGGCAACUUGUAUUUAGAAAAAAAUAUCUCUAUAUUUUCUUUAAGUCAAAAAUAAAGAAGGCAACUCCUCCUUCUAUUUGUGUGCAGCAUAAGCGCUAAAUGCCGCUUCGCCACGUUUGCGCCACCGUUUGAGUCUGCCGAUGUCGGAGCCCAACCGGGUUUGCACUCCAUCGACGUUUCUUUCCUAAACCCUCCAAUGAGGCACAACAGCGCACCAGUUGACAUCUACGUGCUACUAGCACAACUACUGAGGCACGAAGUUAACUUGUAGAAUUUGAUAAUGUCACUAGUAGCACUGCGCUGUCAAUUCAUGCACACGUUUGGCUCACAAAUAACACAGAAUUUGUGUACUAGUGCACCCUAACCUAUACCAGUGCACUGAAUUGUCUUACUAGUGAGGGCAAAGAGCAUACUAGUACUACGCUGAAUAUCAAAGCUAUUGAAUAAAUGUUCAAACAACUUUCCACUAGUAAGGCUUUUGUAAGGUUUAAUUGCGUACUAGUAGGCCAAAAGUGGCACUAGUCGAGGAAAAGAAAUGACUAAGACACAGUUCUUCCUAGUUGACAACUGUGUGCUAAUAGUGCUAUUAGUAAAGCGCUGAAUGUUGACUUGAUGUUAAGUUGAUCAUCUCCUAUAGCUUGCAGUUGUCAACUAGUGCACCGUUUUGCCUCACUAGUAACAUGUGGUUGUCCUAGUAUGUGGGGGGGAAAUCUACUCGUGAGGACAGAGAAAUGACUAGUGAAUGGACCUCAAACUGGAUAUCAAGGAUAUCAGCUAAAUGCUCAAGUAGCUUGAAGGAAAUCUUUCGGAGCAUUUAUACAAUGCCAAAAUUGGGGGGAAAGGUUACUAGUAAGACACUACUGCGUGCACUGAAUUGUCUUAUGAGGGUUAGGGUUCAAAACCGUGCUCGUGCAUUGACCUUCAUCUGGACAUCAAGGAUAAUACAUGCCGAAAGGGCUUCCUAUGGACAGAGCAAAGUCAAUUGAGCGAGGCGAGCUGCAAACGUGACCAUCGCGACGCGUUUACGGAGCUGGGAAUUCUGCAGCGCGGCGAAAUCCUGCUCGUUUAACGAGGAGGCGCACCGGCAGACUCGAAAGGGGGGAAGCCAGCGUGUGAGCGUUGGAGCGCGGCGGGGGUCUCCGCUCUUUGGGAGGCGCCGUCCUGACCAGAUGGACCUCUCAGUGGCAGAGGAGAGCGCAGGAUCUCGCAGGACCGAGACUCUGCAUCCGGGCGGCCCCGGCCCCGGCCCCGGCCCCGGCCCCGGCCCCGGCCCCUCCUGACCAGCUGGAGGACCGAUGGGACCAUCUGACGCUCGUGAGGAAAUGAUGCACUUUUUUCUUUGCCGGGUCGUUUUGUCCGCGCACAAAGGCUCAGCGCUAAUCAAGGAAUUGAGCUAAUCGGCCUUCAAGACGGAAUCCUUUUCACUGCAUCAACAGCAUCAACACGUUCAAGGUCAUGUUAUGAAAAGGAGACAUCGUUUUUAGUGAUAUCGGGCCUGAUUGAUGGAGUUUGCGCAUACUAAACCAGCCCGCUUCUGAUUGCGCACGAGCUGAUCUGCAAACUCGGAUUGAAGUUCAUUUUUGCGCAUUGUGGGAGCAGCACAUUGUUAGCGUAAAAGCAGACUUGCCCACGGCAUUUUGAACUUACUGUCACAAUGUUACUUCCAAAAAAAGAAAAAGAAAAUGUUGGUUUUUUUUAUUUAUGACUGUGUAGAUUGUCAGUCAAGGUAAUCCGAAGACAUUGAAUCGGGCAAAUGGACUCUUCUUGUUUGUUACGUUUGUUGGGGGUUGUUGUCCGAAAAUGCUCAAAUAUUACUCUUAGGCUAAAAAUAGGGAAUUGAAUAAUUUAGCAGGUGCAAUGUGUUGUAUCACGCUUGAAAGAAAUUGCAGUGGCUGCUUGAGACGGCAGGGAGAACCUCGCCACUCGUGGAAACGUUUUGGAAAUUCCAGAAACUAAUGGAAGUUUUCCAACCUCCAAAACCAGAUUGUCAACGGGCGACGCCGCUGGUUAGCGGUUCAAGUUGAGGUGUCCGAUGAGGCUUUGAAACUAGGAUGCUAGUUUCAAAGUAGGAUUUUAAAGGCAGGUUGGAGGUUUGUAAUUAGGGUUUCCGCACAGGGUUGAAGGUUUCUAAGUAGGGGUUCAAGACAGGGUUUGGGUUUCUCGUUAGGGCCUCAAACAAGGGUCAGUCUAUCGGGUUCGGGUUUGAAAGCCACUUCGGGGUAUCAAACAAGGGUUAGGGUUUUAAACUGGGGUUACGGUUGGAAAAUAGGGUUUUAAAGCAAAGGAAAGAAGGCUUUCAAGACAAGCUCAGGGGUUCGCAUCGGAUUUUCAAGCCUGAUUUCAUAUAGUGUUCAAGACUGGGUUCUGCUUUCCGGCUCAUGUUUCAAUGUA